rnacentral:lncRNA from 1 species
CCCACUACUUUUCGCAACAAACUCUCCCUGACUCUGGGCAGCCCACUGCCAGACGGUUACAGACACUGCUAUCAGUCUGUUGCUCCCUCCGCCUAUAAAAGGGAGACGCCAGAUACGUUAUUCUCUAAGCUCUCAUUUUUACCUAGAAACUCUGCUAAAAUUUUCGUUCGAGCACUCCAUUCUUGUUGAGGCAGAGAACUGACUUGAGCG